GGUCACUCAGCAAUAUCCUAUGGAGGCUGGAGUUAGAACUUGGGUCUCCUAAACUGGGGGCUGGUGCUUUCCAACCCAGAUUCUUAGGGUCCUGGUCCCAGCUCAAGAGUAGCAAAAGGACGUUGCCAUGACUCCUCCUCAUCUCCCCAGGCCAAUGCUGAUGGGAGCCAGCUUAGGGGACAGAAAAGGGCCAUGUGAUCUGAGCUAGACCUAACCUGGCUCCAAAGCCUGGCCCCUAGGAUCCCCAGGCUGUACUUGGGAAUCUCAGGGAAGAACUCAUUCCCUUAGUUCUUUUUCAAAAUAUGCAAUAUGCUUAGGAUUCAGAUGUGUUGAGGUCAGUUCUGCUGCUGGCAUCUACCCAGUAUUUUCAACUUGCAUUGCCUCAUGUCAUCCUUGCAACAGCUUUCCAGGGCCAACAGAUGAGGAAAUUUGUAGGCCAAAGGGGUUAAGUGACUUUUCUAAGCUAGUUGGGAAUAGUAUUUUGUCAUCCUGUGGCAGUUUCCAUUAUCACACUGUUGGAGCAAAACUCUGCAGUAGCCUCACAGUCCCCAACCCUGUGUGCCCUGGAUAGACCCCAGGAGGCUGCAGAAGCAGCCAUCAGCAGCACUAGGUGGAAAAAGACCUUGGGCUUGGGCUGAUCUUGGCAAAGGAACUCUUCUGCUGCCCCUGCCUCUGGGAUCUUCUGGGCCAGUCUUACUUCUCCUGACUGGGUGGACGCUAGGAAAGGAAAGAAGGAUCUGGGCCAGUGGAAGCUGUCAUAGGUCAUUGAGAAGCCAGUUUCAAGGUCAAGCUGAGAUGUGAGGGUGAUCUGGCUGCAACAUUUGUCACCCUGUUGAUCACCAGGGUUUAUUCAGCUGAUCUGGCUGGCUAGGCAGAUGUCCCCUUCCUCCCUCACCACUCAAUGUGUACCCCUCCCAAAGCUGUGCACUCAGUCAUAGAGAAGGACCUUCCCCAGUAGAAGAGGACCAUUUUCAGUCAAGGGUAUACAAGUAGCUGUGCUCCCCAAUCAGGCAGUAAUUUGCUGUCAGCUUGCAACAAAAAGGUCAGGUCUCCAGCUGUUAUCAGCAGAAAAAGGAUGUGAGACAGAAUCUCCACACUUAGAAAGUCCCAAGGAAGGUUGGAGACCUAUUCCAGAACAUACUUCCUUGUCUGCUAUCUAGCCCUAUUCAGCACUAAGAAGGUGGUCCCGGACCUUAGGAUGGGGGUGGGACUGCUGCCAUUAACACCCACAGAGUGCAGAGAGACUGAACUUCUCCAAGGCUGUGCCUCUGCCACUGAGAAGAGCAGCUUUUGGCCUGUCUCCAGACAGCUAAUUAGUGGGAUCAAUUUCUCAUAUAGACUGAGCAUGAUGGUGCACACCUGUAAUCUCAUUGACUCAGGAGGCUGAUGAAGGAGGAUCACAAGUUCAAGGACAGCCUGGGCAACUUAGCUAGGCAAUGUCUCAAAGAAAAAGAAAAGAAAGAAAAAAAGGCUGGCUAUGACUCAAUAGUGUCUCUGGGUUCAGUUCCAUAUAUAUAUAUAAACAUACAUAUGUAAGUAUAUGUAAAAUAUAUGUAAACACACACACACACACAUAUAUAUAGUGUGAGUACAUUGUGUGUGUGAAGGCUAUGAGAAGUCUGAUAUUUCUGCAGUGUAACUUGCUAUAUAUUAAAAAUGCAUUCUACAUAAUAUGUAACUUUCAGGAAAAAUUGAUACCAUAACAUGAAUUGGGGGAGAAGCCACAGCAAUCAAUAAUCUGCCAAACCAGAAAGUACCAGAUCUGAUGGGUUCACUGGUUAAUUCAACCAAACAUUCAGGGAAUAAAUUAUACCAAUUCUCUGAAAUUUCUUCCCAAAGAUAGAAGCAGAGGGGAUAUUUCCUAAUUCAUUCUUUGAGGCCAGCAUCACCCUAAUGCAAUAAAUAAAUAAAUAAAUACAUUACCAAAAAAAAGAAAAUCACAAACCAAUACCUCUCAUGAAUAUUGAUGCAAAACUACUUUGUGAAAUAGUAACAAAUUAGGGGUGGGGAAGAUAGCUCAGUGGUAGAGCCCUUGUCGAGCAUGCACAGGACCCUGGGUUUAAUUCUCAGUACCGCAAAAAAAUUCAGCAAAUUGAACAAUUUAUAAAAAGAUAUACCAUGACCAAGGGGAAUUUAUCCCAAGUAUGCAAGACUGAUUCAACAUUCAAAAAUCAGUUCAUGUAAUCUAUCACAUCAAUAGGCAAAAAAAAGAAAUACUACAGGAUAAUACCAAUU
rnacentral:lncRNA from 1 species